rnacentral:rRNA from 1 species
ACUAAGCGUACACGGUGGAUGCCCUGGCAGUCAGAGGCGAUGAAGGACGUGCUAAUCUGCGAUAAGCGUCGGUAAGGUGAUAUGAACCGUUAUAACCGGCGAUUUCCGAAUGGGGAAACCCAGUGUGUUUCGACACACUAUCAUUAACUGAAUCCAUAGGUUAAUGAGGCGAACCGGGGGAACUGAAACAUCUAAGUACCCCGAGGAAAAGAAAUCAACCGAGAUUCCCCCAGUAGCGGCGAGCGAACGGGGAGCAGCCCAGAGCCUGAAUCAGUGUGUGUGUUAGUGGAAGCGUCUGGAAAGGCGCGCGAUACAGGGUGACAGCCCCGUACACAAAAAUGCACAUGCUGUGAGCUCGAUGAGUAGGGCGGGACACGUGGUAUCCUGUCUGAAUAUGGGGGGACCAUCCUCCAAGGCUAAAUACUCCUGACUGACCGAUAGUGAACCAGUACCGUGAGGGAAAGGCGAAAAGAACCCCGGCGAGGGGAGUGAAAAAGAACCUGAAACCGUGUACGUACAAGCAGUGGGAGCACAGAGCAAUCUGUGUGACUGCGUACCUUUUGUAUAAUGGGUCAGCGACUUAUAUUCUGUAGCAAGGUUAACCGAAUAGGGGAGCCGAAGGGAAACCGAGUCUUAACUGGGCGUUAAGUUGCAGGGUAUAGACCCGAAACCCGGUGAUCUAGCCAUGGGCAGGUUGAAGGUUGGGUAACACUAACUGGAGGACCGAACCGACUAAUGUUGAAAAAUUAGCGGAUGACUUGUGGCUGGGGGUGAAAGGCCAAUCAAACCGGGAGAUAGCUGGUUCUCCCCGAAAGCUAUUUAGGUAGCGCCUCGUGAAUUCAUCUCCGGGGGUAGAGCACUGUUUCGGCAAGGGGGUCAUCCCGACUUACCAACCCGAUGCAAACUACGAAUACCGGAGAAUGUUAUCACGGGAGACACACGGCGGGUGCUAACGUCCGUCGUGAAGAGGGAAACAACCCAGACCGCCAGCUAAGGUCCCAAAGUCAUGGUUAAGUGGGAAACGAUGUGGGAAGGCCCAGACAGCCAGGAUGUUGGCUUAGAAGCAGCCAUCAUUUAAAGAAAGCGUAAUAGCUCACUGGUCGAGUCGGCCUGCGCGGAAGAUGUAACGGGGCUAAACCAUGCACCGAAGCUGCGGCAGCGACGCUGAUGCGUUGUUGGGUAGGGGAGCGUUCUGUAAGCCUGCGAAGGUGUGCUGUGAGGCAUGCUGGAGGUAUCAGAAGUGCGAAUGCUGACAUAAGUAACGAUAAAGCGGGUGAAAAGCCCGCUCGCCGGAAGACCAAGGGUUCCUGUCCAACGUUAAUCGGGGCAGGGUGAGUCGACCCCUAAGGCGAGGCCGAAAGGCGUAGUCGAUGGGAAACAGGUUAAUAUUCCUGUACUUGGUGUUACUGCGAAGGGGGGACGGAGAAGGCUAUGUUGGCCGGGCGACGGUUGUCCCGGUUUAAGCGUGUAGGCUGGUUUUCCAGGCAAAUCCGGAAAAUCAAGGCUGAGGCGUGAUGACGAGGCACUACGGUGCUGAAGCAACAAAUGCCCUGCUUCCAGGAAAAGCCUCUAAGCAUCAGGUAACAUCAAAUCGUACCCCAAACCGACACAGGUGGUCAGGUAGAGAAUACCAAGGCGCUUGAGAGAACUCGGGUGAAGGAACUAGGCAAAAUGGUGCCGUAACUUCGGGAGAAGGCACGCUGAUAUGUAGGUGAAGUCCCUCGCGGAUGGAGCUGAAAUCAGUCGAAGAUACCAGCUGGCUGCAACUGUUUAUUAAAAACACAGCACUGUGCAAACACGAAAGUGGACGUAUACGGUGUGACGCCUGCCCGGUGCCGGAAGGUUAAUUGAUGGGGUUAGCGCAAGCGAAGCUCUUGAUCGAAGCCCCGGUAAACGGCGGCCGUAACUAUAACGGUCCUAAGGUAGCGAAAUUCCUUGUCGGGUAAGUUCCGACCUGCACGAAUGGCGUAAUGAUGGCCAGGCUGUCUCCACCCGAGACUCAGUGAAAUUGAACUCGCUGUGAAGAUGCAGUGUACCCGCGGCAAGACGGAAAGACCCCGUGAACCUUUACUAUAGCUUGACACUGAACAUUGAGCCUUGAUGUGUAGGAUAGGUGGGAGGCUUUGAAGUGUGGACGCCAGUCUGCAUGGAGCCGACCUUGAAAUACCACCCUUUAAUGUUUGAUGUUCUAACGUGGACCCGUAAUCCGGGUUGCGGACAGUGUCUGGUGGGUAGUUUGACUGGGGCGGUCUCCUCCUAAAGAGUAACGGAGGAGCACGAAGGUUGGCUAAUCCUGGUCGGACAUCAGGAGGUUAGUGCAAUGGCAUAAGCCAGCUUGACUGCGAGCGUGACGGCGCGAGCAGGUGCGAAAGCAGGUCAUAGUGAUCCGGUGGUUCUGAAUGGAAGGGCCAUCGCUCAACGGAUAAAAGGUACUCCGGGGAUAACAGGCUGAUACCGCCCAAGAGUUCAUAUCGACGGCGGUGUUUGGCACCUCGAUGUCGGCUCAUCACAUCCUGGGGCUGAAGUAGGUCCCAAGGGUAUGGCUGUUCGCCAUUUAAAGUGGUACGCGAGCUGGGUUUAGAACGUCGUGAGACAGUUCGGUCCCUAUCUGCCGUGGGCGCUGGAGAAUUGAGGGGGGCUGCUCCUAGUACGAGAGGACCGGAGUGGACGCAUCACUGGUGUUCGGGUUGUCAUGCCAAUGGCACUGCCCGGUAGCUAAAUGCGGAAGAGAUAAGUGCUGAAAGCAUCUAAGCACGAAACUUGCCCCGAGAUGAGUUCUCCCUGACUCCUUGAGAGUCCUGAAGGAACGUUGAAGACGACGACGUUGAUAGGCCGGGUGUGUAAGCGCAGCGAUGCGUUGAGCUAACCGGUACUAAUGAACCGUGAGGCUUAACC